GCCUUCGUGGUGUAACUGGAAGCAUUUCUGAUGCGCUUGCAGUUGGAUGCACUUCCACUCCAAUGUGUCUGCCAACUAUUAAUCAGGAGAUCCGGGGUUCGAAUCCCAGUGAGGGCA
rnacentral:tRNA from 1 species